CGAGGCUGAGCUCCUGUUGGGCCCUUCGAUCUCGAGAAUCGUCACCUGAGGUGCGCUCCUUUACGGGCCCUCGCUCUUGGUGUACACAGAGGUGCGCUCCUUCACGGGCCCUCUCCCUUGGUAUCACCCGAGGUGCGCUCCUGCACGGGCCCUCGCUCUUGGUGUAACACGAGGUGCGCUCCCUCCAGGGCCCUCAAUCUUUUGGUCGAAGAGCUUCGUGGCACGUCAAACUGCCUCGUCGACGUCUCCGACGGGACCGUCCCGGUCCUUACCCGCACCCGGACUGUCCGGGGUGCGUCUGUCCAGACGAGUGCCAGGGAGUUCCCAUACUCGACUCUGGCAUAGCGUUCCUUCCUUGGGAGCUGAGGCAGAUAGAGGUACCACGACACUACGACCCUCGCCGCCGGUGUACCGUAACAAGGAGUCAGGGGACCCAAACGUCGCCAACCGCUUCGGCCACGUCCAGCGGUACCCAGACGUCCCCUGAGCCUGCAACGAGCACUCCGCAGAAGCUCCGAAGCGUCGUCGUCGUCCCAGUCGCUCCUUCGCCGCGUUCUCCGCGUCCUCGCACGCCAGGGCGA